CAUUGACCCUUCGGAUGAUUUGUUGGGCGUCGAGCGGCGGACGGGUGAGUAAUGNCUGGGAAAUUGCCCUGAUGUGGGGGAUAACCAUUGNAAACGAUGGCUAAUACCGCAUAAUGUCUACGGACCNAAGAGGGGGACCUUCGGGCCUCUCGCUUCAGGAUAUGCCCAGGUGGGAUUAGCUAGUUGGUGAGGUAAUGGCUCACCAAGGCGACGAUCCCUANCUGGUCUGAGAGGAUGAUCAGCCACACUGGAACUGANACNCGGUCCAGACUCCUACGGGAGGCNNCNNUGGGGAAUAUUGCACAAUGGGCGCAAGCCUGAUGCAGCCAUGCCGCGUGUAUGAAGAAGGNCUUCGGNUUGUAAAGUACUUUCAGUCGUGAGGAAGG
rnacentral:rRNA from 1 species